GAUGAACGCUGGCGGCGUGCCUAAUACAUGCAAGUCGAGCGAAUGGAUUAAGAGCUUGCUCUUAUGAAGUUAGCGGCGGACGGGUGAGUAACACGUGGGUAACCUGCCCAUAAGACUGGGAUAACUCCGGGAAACCGGGGCUAAUACCGGAUAACAUUUUGAACCGCAUGGUUCGAAAUUGAAAGGCGGCUUCGGCUGUCACUUAUGGAUGGACCCGCGUCGCAUUAGCUAGUUGGUGAGGUAACGGCUCAGCAAGGCAACGAUGCGUAGCCGCCCUGGGAGGUUGAUCGGCCAAACUGGGACUGAGCCACGGCCCAGACUCCUACGGGAGGCAGCAGUAGGGAAUCUUCCGCAAUGGACGAAAGUCUGACGGAGCAACGCCGCGUGAGUGAUGAAGGCUUUCGGGUCGUAAAACUCUGUUGUUAGGGAAGAACAAGUGCUAGUUGAAUAAGCUGGCACCUUGACGGUACCUAACCAGAAAGCCACGGCUAACUACGUGCCAGCCGCCGCAGUAA
rnacentral:rRNA from 1 species